AGNAGUUUGAUCCUGGCUCAGGAUGAACGCUGGCGGCGUGCUUAACACAUGCAAGUCGAACGAUUAAAGCCCCUUCGGGGGUGUAUAGAGUGGCGAACGGGUGAGUAACACGUGGGCAACCUGCCCCUCACUUCGGGAUAACUCAGGGAAACCUGAGCUAAUACCGGAUACUCCGGAUUGGUCGCAUGGCCGAUCCGGGAAAGUUCCGGCGGUGAGGGAUGGGCCCGCGGCCCAUUAGCUUGUUGGUGAGGUAACGGCUCACCAAGGCGACGAUGGGUAGCCGAGCUGAGAGGCUGACCGGCCACACUGGGACUGAGACACGGCCCAGACUCCUACGGGAGGCAGCAGUGGGGAAUCUUGCGCAAUGGGCGAAAGCCUGACGCAGCAACGCCGCGUGCGGGAUGAAGGCCUUCGGGUCGUAAACCGCUUUCAGCAGGGACGAAAAUGACUGUACCUGCAGAAGAAGCCCCGGCUAACUACGUGCCAGCAGCCGCGGUAAUACGUAGGGGGCAAGCGUUAUCCGGAUUCAUUGGGCGUAAAGCGCGCGUAGGCGGCNUUGUUAAGCCGAGGUGUGAAAACCGGGGGCUCAACCCGCGGCCUGCACCUUUGAACUGGCAGGCUUGAGUCUGGUAGAGGAAAGUGGAAUUCCCAGUGUAGCGGUGAAAUGCGCAGGAUAUUGGGAGGAACACCAGUGGCGAAGGCGGCUUUCUGGGCCACGACUGACGCUGAGGCGCGAAAGCUAGGGGAGCGAACAGGAUUAGAUACCCUGGUAGUCCUAGCCGUAAACGAUGGGCACUAGGUGUGGGGGGUCAUCAACUCCCUCCGUGCCGCAGCUAACGCAUUAAGUGCCCCGCCUGGGGAGUACGGCCGCAAGGCUAAAACUCAAAGUGAAUUGACGG
rnacentral:rRNA from 1 species